rnacentral:rRNA from 1 species
UACGUAGGUGGCAAGCGUUAUCCGGAAUUACUGGGUGUAAAGGGAGCGCAGGCGGGAUAGCAAGUCAGCUGUGAAAACUAUGGGCUCAACCCAUAGAUUGCAGUUGAAACUGUUAUUCUUGAGUGGAGUAGAGGCAAGCGGAAUUCCGAGUGUAGCGGUGAAAUGCGUAGAUAUUCGGAGGAACACCAGUGGCGAAGGCGGCUUGCUGGGCUCUAACUGACGCUGAGGCUCGAAAGUGUGGGGAGCAAACAGG